AUAAAAUAGACUAAGACACCUCCCAAGUUCACAAGACUCCCCAUCAGCAUUCCAACUGCCUCAUCUUACGUAUGAACAGACAACUAAGCGUUAUUAGGUAUUUAAGAAAAGUCUCCAACAUGGAGUGUGGGGGCAGAUAAACAGAAACUUCAGAGAAUUUAGAAAGGAAAACCUAAUUAGUAUACUAGGAUACUCAGAUGAAGUAACAGUCCAAGGUUUAAAAAUAGAUGUUGAAAUUUAAAAUAAAUUGCCAAAUUAUAAAUUUAAUUAAAAUAUUGAAAGAUAAAGUCACUGAACUUUUAAAGAAAAUAGAAGAAGCCUGGGCAACAUAGUGAGACCCCAUCUCUUUAAAAAUGUUUUAAAACUUAGCCGGGUAUGGUGAUGCGCACCUGUGGUCCUAGCUAUUCAGGAGGCUGAGGUGUAUUACCUGAUCCUGGGAGGUCAAGGGAGCAGUGAGCCAGGAUGGUGGUGCUGCACCCCGGCCUGGGUGACAUUGUAGUUUUAUGUCAAGUUCC
rnacentral:lncRNA from 1 species